AUUUUUUUGACAGUAACUAUGAACAAAUCAUGUUAUUUUGGUUUACUUUGCCUAAUAGUCAUUGUCUAAGUUGACCUUAUAUGUAAACAUUAUAUGUAAACAUGAUAGCGACCAGUCAGUUAGCUGACUGGCUUUUACCAGCUGAUUUCAACAUGUAUUUCAACAAUAUAUCAACUUUUUUUUUUUUAAACUAAUAGGACUUUCUGCAAAGUUUGGAUGCAUUCACCGGAGCGAACGGAUGACUGAAAAAAACAAAAACCACUGUCUGACAAGACUGCAGCUUUGCGUUUCUGCCACAGCUCUCAUUUACGUUUCAGCAUGGGAGACUUGACUGAAUUCCUGAAACAAAGAGAAGUCUCUGAGGAAAUUAUACAGACCUUGGAGAAUGAGAAGAUUGAUGCCAGUGUCAUAAGUCUAAUGACAGAUGAGGAGCUGAAGACUUAUUUGCCAUCAUAUGGUGAUCGUCUAGCAGUAUUUGGAUUUUGCAGACGGAGGGGCAGCAGCCGCAAGUCAGCGCUUUUUGAACGGCUGAAAUCCAAAGCGUCCAAAAGAAAAUUAUCUGAAGAGGAUGGCAGUAGCACACGGCAAGAAGAACAUUCCCAAACAACCCAUAAAAGAAAUGCUCUGAAGAGAAAUAGAAAAAUAGAAAUAGGAUGGAUGCAUUAUGAUGAAGACACUGAGGUUUUCAAGCAGGUUAGAGCUAGACGAGGAGGAGGAACAAGAAAAAUAGACAUUUGCAAGGAUGCCAAGAAAAGGGACAUAUUACAGGUUGCAACAGGCCUGUUCUUUCCAGAUGGAGGAAACAUUCAGGGGCCCUUAACAGAUUUUGACUGUGAUCUGAAGGAUUAUCAAGAGAUGAUAGUCGAUGAUGCAUUGACAGUAGGAGAACUUUAUCAUGUCACAAAACUAAAUAUCCGCAGGUUCUACCUCACCACAAAGAAAAAACAAAAUGACAGCCUUCAGAGUUCCAGCCCGAGUUUGCAUCCAUCUUCAGAAAUUGAAGAGAGUCCUCAAAACCAAACCUCUUCUUUUACUGUCACUACAGUCCAAACAUCUGCUCCAUUUGAAACGGUCAGCCAUGAUGUGACAUACAUUGAAGACACUCCAAACGAUAACCUUCCACAAUCUUCCACGCAGUCUCUAAGUGCUAACACUUCUCACAGCAGUGACAUUAUUUUUGUUGGCCCCUUUUCUGACAGUGAGCCAAUAAAUUUGGAUGACACCCUGAUUUUUUCUCCACACCCUGGUCCAUCCAGUGAGAGAGUGAGGAGAGUAGUGGUGGUCCACAGAGGGCAGGUAAUGUCAG
ensembl:lncRNA